UAAGCGGAGGAAAAGAAACUAACAAGGAUUCCCCUAGUAACUGCGAGUGAAGCGGGAAAAGCUCAAAUUUAAAAUCUGGCGGUCUCUGGCCGUCCGAGUUGUAAUUUAGAGAAGCGUCUUCCGCGCCGGACCGUGCACAAGUCUCCUGGAAUGGAGCGUCAUAGAGGGUGAGAAUCCCGUCUUUGGCACGGAUGCCUGUGCUUCUGCGAUGCGCUCUCGAAGAGUCGAGUUGUUUGGGAAUGCAGCUCAAAAUGGGUGGUGAACUCCAUCUAAAGCUAAAUAUUGGCGAGAGACCGAUAGCGAACAAGUACCGUGAGGGAAAGAUGAAAAGCACUUUGGAAAGAGAGUGAAACAGUACGUGAAAUUGUUGAAAGGGAAACGCUUGAAGUCAGUCGCGUCGACCGAGACUCAGCCUUGCCUUGGCUUGGUGUACUUCUCGGCCCGACGGGUCAGCAUCAAUUUUGCCCCUCGGAUAAUGGCAAGGGAAAGGUGGCACCUUUGCGGGUGUGUUAUAGUCUCCUGUCGCAUGCGAGGGGUGGGAUUGAGGAACUCAGCGCGCACCUUGGUGUCGGGGCUUCGGCCCACGUCACGCGCUUAGGAUGCUGGCGUAAUGGCUUUAAACGACC
rnacentral:rRNA from 1 species